rnacentral:sRNA from 4 species
AACCAUGCGCUAUGCGUAUGGUUCAGAAAAGGUUUUACCGUUAUCUAAAAAAACAUCUCAUCAUGCUAGAAUAUAUUGGUCAGCCAACCAAAAUAUUCAACACGAGGAGAUG